UGGGUCCCAGUGCCCCCGAGAUUGAGUACUCAACUGUACUCAGUAGACAGUAGAGUGGGAAAAUGGUUAAAUCUACAAUAAAAUAGACAGUUAUUUUUCUUUCAUUUCUACUCCCAGGUACACACUGACCAGCCAUGACUGAAGAUCCCAGAGAAGAAGUCAAUCGAGGAGUACUGCUGUUGGAACCAUUCUAUGGUGGCUCUCAUCGUCAGCUCAUUGAUCUCCUUCAUGAGAGUAUCCCAGAAUGCACUUUGUUUACCUUGCCCGCUUCCAAGUGGCACUGGAGAGCAAGGACAUCGGCUCUAUACUUCUCCACCGAAGUACCUUACGAUCACUCAUUCAGUGUUCUGUUUGCAAGCUCCGUCCUGAACCUCGCAGAGCUGGUUGCCUUGAGACCUGACCUAGCAACGAUCAGGAAAAUCCUGUACUUCCAUGAGAACCAGCUAGUUUAUCCAGUCCAGAAACACAAGGACAGGGACUUCCAGUAUGGUUACAACCAAAUACUUUCAUGCCUUGUUGCAGAUGUUAUUGUCUUCAAUUCAUAUUAUAACCAAGAGAGUUUCCUGACAUCCAUUGAUUCCUUCUUAAAAUUGAUGCCAAAUAGGCCAAGAAAGUUUGCUGAGAGGAUUCGUCCAAAGUGCCAAGUCCUGUACUUUCCCCUUUAUUUCCCUCCCGUCCUGCCUAGCAAGGCACCAGAUCCAGACAUGACUGUUCCUUCUGGCAAAUACUCUGAAACACCCUUCAGCCACGAUGUCGGGAGCAGACAUUCUUCAGAACAUACCCCUGAUCAGAGCAUCGGGUCACCAGAUUGCAAGCCGCCAAGUUCUGCAGCAAAAGUAACAAGUUGUGCAGGUGGUGGGUGUAGCUCUGUACAGCCUGGACUGAUGAUAGACAUAGCACAUUGGGGUCAUCUAGGGGAAGGGGAUUUUAGGAGAAAAGAAUAUGGGAUGACCUUUGAUGAACUGCAGGACAACCAGGUUUCAUCUCAUGUCUCAGUGGACGACCGAGGUAAUCCUGCAAGAAGAGCAAUGAAAUUGCAGGAAUCAAAAGAAACGUUUGCUCAUAGGAUUGUAUUAGAUACUGUAGACCAUGCUUCUUUCCCAAAACAGGAAGAUGGGAAUGAAAUAGAUGAGCGAUCUUUUGAUGACCAAAAGCGUAUUCCUGUCUUAUUUCAGAAUCCUUUGGAAUCUUCAGAAGUGGAACGAUCAUCUCAGGAUUCAAAGGGAAUGAGCUGUGCAUCAAGAAAACCUGUAACAGAUACCAAAGCUCCUGCUAAUGUAUUCAACCAGGAAGAUACCAAUGAAGAUACAACCGCUGAUGUUUUACCAGAUUGCAGUACAUUUACAGAACAACGUGAAAAUAUCUGUCGGGGAAUAGAAAAAACAAAAAUAGGUUCAGUAGGUCCUCAUGGUGGAGGUAGUCGUGACCAUGCCAGCACAGAUGAGAAGCGAGUUGGUGAUUGCAGCUCUGUCAAGAAUGGAAAUGAUAAUGGACGGAGCAUUCGACCACUACAUAUUCUUUGGCCUCAUAGAUGGGAACAUGACAAGAAUCCAGAUCAAUUCUUCUCUGUAUUGUUUCAACUGCGUGAGCAAGACUGUAAUUUUCAUGUCUCUGUGUUGGGUGAAAGCUAUCUGCAAGUUCCAUCAAUCUUUGAGGAAGCAAAGCUUAAAUUGAAAGAUCAUAUUUUUAGCUGGGGGUUUCUACCAAGCAAGGAGGACUAUUACAGGAUACUUUCCGAGGCUGAUGUUGUUGUUUCUACUGCAAAUCAUGAAUUCUUUGGAGUCGCUAUGUAGGUUAGAAGCCACUUAUUAUCAGUGUUAUCCGCUCUGCCCAGCCCGCCUGGUCUACCCAGAGAUAUUCCCCGCUGAACACCUUUAC
rnacentral:misc_RNA from 1 species